GCAUGGUAGCCGAGUGGGUAAAGCAUUAGAGCUAUUAACCGAAAAUCAAUGGUUCGAAUCCAUCCCGUAGCA